ACGUAGGCAGCGAGCGUUGUUCGGAGUUACUGGGCGUAAAGCGUGCGUAGGCGGUGUUCCAAGUCUGUUGUGAAAUCUCCCGGCUUAACCGGGAGGGUGCGGCGGAAACUGGGAUGCUGGAGUGCCGGAGAGGUAAGCGGAAUUCCUGGUGUAGCGGUGAAAUGCGUAGAUAUCAGGAGGAACACCUGCGGUGUAGACGGCUUACUGGACGGUAACCGACGCUGAGGCACGAAAGCGUGGGGAGCAAACAGGA
rnacentral:rRNA from 1 species